CUGCCUUGUAAAUGCAGUAACACAAAAUCUGUUGACUACUGCUCCUUUGUCGUUGAUUAUCUUUCUCUCUUAUGUGUGCAUUACUGUGCUUAAUUUAUGGCUUCAAUUCGGCAUUUGUCAUCUUGGUACUUUAGCAUAAUAAUAGUGUAAUGAAUAAACGAAAGGUUCCGAAGAGCGGGCUCUUAGGCAACCUUUUUUCGGUAGCACUUAUUUGUUGUUUGCUUAGCAAAACGUUUUCUGAAACUGGUUUUGUUUGUGAGAACAAAGGUUCAGUCAGUUGAAAACAAUAGUUUCUGGAAUACCAAAAAAGUAAAAGUAGAAGAAACGUGACUGAUUAUAUGAUUACAAACGAUCCUUUAAUUAAUUCCUGAACAAAAAUAAGCCUUAAAAAAUAGUUGAUUAUUAAAACCUGCAU